rnacentral:rRNA from 1 species
GGUUUAUUUAAAGUUUAUUUUAUAUUAAAUAAUCUCGAAUUUAAUAAGGGCUAUAAAGUUAUAUUAGUAUAUGUAGAAAAAUAUUAUUCAAUAAUUUUAUAGAAAUGAAAGGUUAUUCUAUUUUAAAUAUAUCUAGUUUUUUAAGAAAUUAAUUUAAUUAAAUUUGUAUGUUAGAAUAAUUUUAUUUGGGUAGAUUUAUUUUUGUAUAAAUUAAUAAAAAAUGGGAUAAUCUUUUUUUUAAAUUAAUAUAAAGUCUAUAAAAUUUUUAUUAAUUGGUAGAAUUAAUAGUUUUUAUUCUGUGAGUUAUAUCUAAUUUAUAUGUUUGAAUUAUAAUUUAUUUUAGUUUUAUUUAUUAUAUUAAAAAAUAAGGUUUUAUUUAUAAAGUUUAGCUAUAAUGAUAAAAUUAGUAUAAAAUUUUAUUUAUAUUAUUAGUAUUUUGAUAGGUUUAUGUUAAGAAUUAGGCAAAUAAAAUUUUCACCUGUUUAAUAAAAACAUGUCCUUUAGGUAUUAAUUUAAGGUCUAAUCUGCUCAAUGAAUUUUAAAUAGCCGCAGUAUUUUGACUGUGCUAAGGUAGCAUAAUCAAUAGUUUAUUAAUUAUAAGCUUGAAUGAAUGAUUGGAUGAGAAAUUGACUAUUUAAAGUUAAAUUUAAUUGGAAAUUUAUUUUUAAGUGAAAAAGCUUAAAUUUUUAUUAAAGACAAGAAGACCCUAUAGAGUUUUAUAGAAUAUAUUUAUUUAUAAAAAAAAUAAGUUUUAGUUUAUAGAUUAAAUAUUUUAAUUGAUUGGGGUGAUUGAUAAAUUAAUAAAAUUUUAUUAUUUUAAAACAUUGAUUUAUGAAAAUUUUGAUCCUUAUAAAAGAUUAAUAGAAAUAAUUACCUUAGGGAUAACAGCGUAAUUUUUCUUUAGAGUUCAUAUUAAAAGAAAAGUUUGCGACCUCGAUGUUGGAUUAAGAUUAAUUAUUGGUGUAGAAGCUAAGUAAAUUAGGUCUGUUCGACCUUUAAAAUCUUACAUGAUC